AACUUUUGGCAAUGGAUCACAUGGUUCUGGCAUCGAUGAAGAACGCAGCGAAAUGCGAUAAGUAAUGCGAAUUGCAGAAUUCCAGUGAGUCAUCGAAUCUUUGAACGCACAUUGCGCCCUUUGGUAUUCCGAAGGGCAUGCCUGUUCGAGCGUCAUUAUCACCCCUCAAGCCCCGUGCUUGGUGUUGGACGGCUUGGUCGCGUCACCGCGACUCCUCCUAAAGACAAUGACGGCGGCCUGUGGUUCCCCCGGUACACUGAGCUUUUAAUUGAGCACGUAUUGGAUAAGGGCACCCGGGACCCGGUCUUCUCCCUUUACCGGGAAAUUUUCAAUGGUUGACCUCGGAUCAGGUAGGAAUACGCGCUGAAUUUAAGCAUAUCAAUAAGCGGAGGCU
rnacentral:misc_RNA from 1 species